GACGAACGCUGGCGGCGUGCUUAACACAUGCAAGUCGAACGGAAAGGCCCUGCUUUUGUGGGGUGCUCGAGUGGCGAACGGGUGAGUAACACGUGAGUAACCUGCCCUUGACUUUGGGAUAACUUCAGGAAACUGGGGCUAAUACCGGAUAGGAGCUCCUGCUGCAUGGUGGGGGUUGGAAAGUUUCGGCGGUUGGGGAUGGACUCGCGGCUUAUCAGCUUGUUGGUGGGGUAGUGGCUUACCAAGGCUUUGACGGGUAGCCGGCCUGAGAGGGUGACCGGCCACAUUGGGACUGAGAUACGGCCCAGACUCCUACGGGAGGCAGCAGUGGGGAAUAUUGCACAAUGGGCGGAAGCCUGAUGCAGCAACGCCGCGUGCGGGAUGACGGCCUUCGGGUUGUAAACCGCUUUCGCCUGUGACGAAGCGUGAGUGACGGUAAUGGGUAAAGAAGCACCGGCUAACUACGUGCCAGCAGCCGCGGUGAUACGUAGGGUGCGAGCGUUGUCCGGAUUUAUUGGGCGUAAAGGGCUCGUAGGUGGUUGAUCGCGUCGGAAGUGUAAUCUUGGGGCUUAACCCUGAGCGUGCAUUCGAUACGGGUUGACUUGAGGAAGGUAGGGGAGAAUGGAAUUCCUGGUGGAGCGGUGGAAUGCGCAGAUAUCAGGAGGAACACCAGUGGCGAAGGCGGUUCUCUGGGCCUUUCCUGACGCUGAGGAGCGAAAGCGUGGGGAGCGAACAGGCUUAGAUACCCUGGUAGUCCACGCUGUAAACGGUGGGUACUAGGUGUGGGGUCCAUUCCACGGGUUCCGUGCCGUAGCUGACGCUUUAAGUACCCCGCCUGGGGAGUACGGCCGCAAGGCUAAAACUCAAAGGAAUUGACGGGGCCCCGCACAAGCGGCGGAGCAUGCGGAUUAAUUCGAUGCAACGCGUAGAACCUUACCUGGGUUUGACAUGGAUCGGGAGUGCUCAGAGAUGGGUGUGCCUCUUUUGGGGUCGGUUCACAGGUGGUGCAUGGCUGUCGUCAGCUCGUGUCGUGAGAUGUUGGGUUAAGUCCCGCAACGAGCGCAACCCUUGUUCACUGUUGCCAGCACGUUAUGGUGGGGACUCAGUGGAGACCGCCGGGGUCAACUCGGAGGAAGGUGGGGAUGACGUCAAGUCAUCAUGCCCCUUAUGUCCAGGGCUUCACGCAUGCUACAAUGGCUGGUACAGAGAGUGGCGAGCCUGUGAGGGUGAGCGAAUCUCGGAAAGCCGGUCUCAGUUCGGAUUGGGGUCUGCAACUCGACCUCAUGAAGUCGGAGUCGCUAGUAAUCGCAGAUCAGCAACGCUGCGGUGAAUACAAUCCCGGGGCU
rnacentral:rRNA from 1 species